UCAGGCCUAACACAUGCAAGUCGAGCGGUAGCGGGAAGAGCUUGCUCUUUGCCGACGAGCGGCGGACGGGUGCGUAACACGUAGGAAUCUGCCUGGUAGUGGGGGAUAGCCCGGAGAAAUCCGGAUUAAUACCGCAUACGCCCUACGGGGGAAAGGAGGGGACUCUUCGGAGCCUUUCGCUAUCAGAUGAGCCUGCGUCGGAUUAGCUUGUUGGUGGGGUAAAGGCCUACCAAGGCGACGAUCCGUAGCUGGUCUGAGAGGAUGAUCAGCCACACUGGGACUGAGACACGGCCCAGACUCCUACGGGAGGCAGCAGUGGGGAAUAUUGCACAAUGGGCGAAAGCCUGAUGCAGCCAUGCCGCGUGUGUGAAGAAGGCCCUAGGGUUGUAAAGCACUUUCAGUGGGGAGGAAAGGUUGAAGGUUAAUACCCUUCAGCUGUGACGUUACCCACAGAAGAAGCACCGGCUAACUCCGUGCCAGCAGCCGCGGUAAUACGGAGGGUGCGAGCGUUAAUCGGAAUUACUGGGCGUAAAGCGUGCGUGGGCGGCCACCUAAGUUGGAUGUGAAAGCCCCGGGCUCAACCUGGGAACUGCAUCCAAAACUGGGUGGCUAGAGUACGGGAGAGGAGUGUGGAAUUUCCUGUGUAGCGGUGAAAUGCGUAGAUAUAGGAAGGAACACCAGUGGCGAAGGCGACACUCUG
rnacentral:rRNA from 1 species